rnacentral:rRNA from 1 species
GAUAAACGCUGGCGGCGCACAUAAGACAUGCAAGUUGAACGGACUUAAUCGAAAUAUUUAUAUUUUGAAGCGGUUAGUGGCGGACUGGUGAGUAACGCGUAAGGAACCUGCCUCUUAGAGGGGAAUAACAGUGAGAAAUCAUUGCUAAUACCGCAUAUGCCAUAGAUAUCACAUGAUAACAGUGGGAAAGGAGCAAUCCGCUAAUAGAUGGCCUUGCGUCUGAUUAGAUAGUUGGUGGGGUAACGGCCUACCAAGUCGACGAUCAGUAGCCGGACUGAGAGGUUGAACGGCCACAUGGGGACUGAGAUACGGCCCAGACUCCUACGGGAGGCAGCAGUCGGGAAUAUUGCGCAAUGGAGGAAACUCUGACGCAGUGACGCCGCGUAUAGGAAGAAGGUUUUCGGAUUGUAAACUAUUGUCGUUAGGGAAGAGAAAGGACAGUACCUAAGGAGGAAGCUCCGGCUAACUACGUG